rnacentral:rRNA from 1 species
CGGGACGGGUGAGUAACGCGUGGGUAACCUGCCUUGUACAGGGGGAUAACAGUUGGAAACGGCUGCUAAUACCGCAUAAGCGCACGGCAUCGCAUGAUGCGGUGUGAAAAACUCCGGUGGUAUAAGAUGGACCCGCGUUGGAUUAGCUAGUUGGUGAGGUAACGGCCCACCAAGGCGACGAUCCAUAGCCGACCUGAGAGGGUGACCGGCCACAUUGGGACUGAGACACGGCCCAA